rnacentral:rRNA from 1 species
AUUGAACGCUGGCGGCAUGCUUUACACAUGCAAGUCGAACGGUAACAGGCCGCAAGGUGCUGACGAGUGGCGAACGGGUGAGUAAUGCAUCGGAACGUGCCCAGUCGUGGGGGAUAACGCAGCGAAAGCUGUGCUAAUACCGCAUACGAUCUGUGGAUGAAAGCGGGGGACCGUAAGGCCUCGCGCGAUUGGAGCGGCCGAUGUCAGAUUAGGUAGUUGGUGGGGUAAAGGCUCACCAAGCCGACGAUCUGUAGCUGGUCUGAGAGGACGACCAGCCACACUGGGACUGAGACACGGCCCAGACUCCUACGGGAGGCAGCAGUGGGGGAUUUUGGACAAUGGGCGCAAGCCUGAUCCAGCAAUGCCGCGUGCAGGAAGAAGGCCUUCGGGUUGUAAACUGCUUUUGUACGGAGCGAAAAGGCUCUCUCUAAUACAGGGGGUUCAUGACGGUACCGUAAGAAUAAGCACCGGCUAACUACGUGCCAGCCGCCGCCGUAACAC